rnacentral:rRNA from 1 species
AGAGUUUGAUCCUGGCUCAGGAUGAACGCUGGCGGCGUGCUUAACACAUGCAAGUCGAACGAGAAAACUCCUUCGGGAGCGAGUACAGUGGCGAACGGGUGAGUAACACGUUGGUGACCUGCCCCGAGAUGAGGAAUAACUCUGGGAAACCAGAGCUAAUACCUCGGAUGUCUAGACUGUUAGAGGGUUUAGACUAAAGCUCCGGCGUCUCGGGAGGGGCCUGCGGGCUAUCAGCUAGUUGGUGGGGUAAUGGCCUACCAAGGCUAAGACGGCUAGGGGACGUGAGAGCGUGAUCCCCCACAAUGGAACUGAGACACGGUCCAUACUCCUACGGGAGGCAGCAGUGAGGAAUAUUGCGCAAUGGGGGCAACCCUGACGCAGCAACGCCGCGUGGAUGAUGACGGCCUUCGGGUUGUAAAAUCCUUUUCUGAGGGACGAUAAUGACGGUACCUCAGGAAUAAGUCCCGGCUAACUACGUGCCAGCAGCCGCGGUAAAACGUAGGGGGCAAGCGUUAUCCGGAUUUACUGGGCGUAAAGCGCGCGUAGGCGGCAUUGUAAGUUGGAUGUGAAAGCUCCCGGCUCAACUGGGAGAGGUCGUUCAAAACUGCGGUGCUCGAGGUUGGCAGAGGAGAGUGGAAUUCCCGGUGUAGUGGUGGAAUGCGUA